rnacentral:rRNA from 1 species
CUAGAGUUUGAUCAUGGCUCAGAUUGAACGCUGGCGGCAGGCUUAACACAUGCAAGUCGAGCGGUAACAGGAAAUAGCUUGCUAUUUUGCUGACGAGCGGCGGACGGGUGAGUAGUACUUGGGAAUCUGCCUGAUGGAGGGGGACAACCACUGGAAACGGUGGCUAAUACCGCAUAAUCUCUUAGGAGCAAAGUGGGGGACCUUCGGGCCUCACGCCAUCAGAUGAGCCCAAGCAGGAUUAGGUAGUUGGUAGGGUAAUGGCCUACCAAGCCGACGAUCCUUAGCUGGUCUGAGAGGAUGAUCAGCCACACUGGGACUGAGACACGGCCCAGACUCCUACGGGAGGCAGCAGUGGGGAAUAUUGGACAAUGGGCGCAAGCCUGAUCCAGCCAUGCCGCGUGUGUGAAGAAGGCCUUCGGGUUGUAAAGCACUUUCAGUGGUGAGGAAGGCGUUGUCGUUAAUAGCGGCAACGAUGACGUAGCCACAGAGAGACCGUCC